CAGUAGCCGCGGGAAUACGAAGGGGGCUAGCGUUGCUCGGAAUCACUGGGCGUAAAGGGUGCGUAGGCGGGUCUUUAAGUCAGGGGUGAAAUCCUGGAGCUCAACUCCAGAACUGCCUUUGAUACUGAAGAUCUUGAGUUCGGGAGAGGUGAGUGGAACUGCGAGUGUAGAGGUGAAAUUCGUAGAUAUUCUCAAGAACACCAGUGGCGAAGGCGGCUCACUGGCCCGAUACUGACGCUGAGGCACGAAAGCGUGGGGAGCAAACAGGAUUAGAUACCCCCGUAGUCCCUGUCUCUUAUAC
rnacentral:rRNA from 1 species